GUCACAUGUGCAAACACUAACAUCAGUAAAGUGCCUUCGCAGAAGCAGCUUGGUUUCUUCAAUUAUCAUUGCAGAAGAAGAAAGAUUAGCAGACCGGGACAGCAACGCAUCUUUCAGAGUAGAGGAAUCAGUCUCCAGGAUCAAUUUCUGAAUCCCUUUCUAAAUGGCCAUCUUAACUCCCUAGCAUGCCGCCACUGCCUCUGCCUGGAAUGGGUUCAGCGGGCUCGGGAGAUUGCCUGUACCAGACGCCAAAGCAGAGCCAUGCCGAUCCCUGAUCACAGCACCCCAGCCGCCACUUCCUGUCAGCUCCAAAAAAGAACCAUCGCUAUUAACUUUCACCCAUUCGCCAUCAGGUUUCUGCCACUUCGUUCUUUGCUUGCAUGUUCUCACGAGUGGAGUUGCCGCAACCUCCAGAAGAUGGUUCUUUAUAAUAAAAAUGAGCUCAUAUGCAGACCGGCACAUGCCUCCCUCACGCACCUUGUUUCUUUCAAGCCACCAAUUCCACAUAAUGUUUGCCACAAGGGCCUGCUCUUUCACCUCCAAUCCCAAAAUGACAGCAAACACAUCCACGACAAGGCUUUUAUCAGUUAGAGUAAGCCGCAUCUCUUCUAGGUCCAGCCCCCGCCAAAUUCUCUUCACAUAUUUGCAUUUAAAGAGUAGAUGUCCUGAGUCUUCAUCUCUUGUCUUACAAAACAAGCAAUUUGUUUCAACAUCCAUGCCCCUUCUCCGCAGAUUACUUCUAACAGCCGAGUGUUAUGUUCAACUCUCCAAAGGAAGUGUUUUAUUUUAUUAGGCACUUGAAUUUUCCAUAACUUUAGCCAAUUGAUCUGGUUUCUCUGUAGACUAGACGGCCCAUCUCCACCCAUAUUGUUUUUUGCCUCCUCUGCAACUACAGAAGCGUGAUAUGCAGAUUUCACAGAGAACAUGCCUCUCUCAUCAGAUGCCACGUGAUUGAGUCAGCGAAGGGCGGAUGCACAGGAAUUUUUUGGAUCAUCUCGACAUCCUCCUCCCAAAAAUGUUGCCCUAUCAGAUCAUGGUUCCACCCACCUCUACCCGGGUCCAUUAGCUCUGAAACAAACUGAAUUUCACAACCCAUCCUUGGUGUCAUUGGUUUUCUAGUGAUAUGAUUAGGGAUCCAAGGGUCCUCCCAGAUUUUGAUUGAACUUCCAUUUCCCACACGCCAAAUGAUCCCCAACUUGAGGGUAUCGAUGCCUUUAAGGAUGCUCCUCCAAGUAUAGGAUAUGCCCGGCGUAGGCUUGGCUUCCAUAAUUCCGAAGUCAGGGAAAUAGCGAGCUUUGAGGAUUCUGGAGCAAAGGGAAUCAGGGUUUUGAAUCAGCCUCCAACCUUGUCUCGCAAGCAUGCCCAAAUUGAAAGAGUAGAUGUCUCUAAAACCAAGCCCGCCCUCCUUCUUGCUUUUGGUAAGUUUCCUCUAACUCAGCCAAUGCAUGGAAUUGUCCUUAUCCUGAUGGUUCCACCAAUAACGACCAAUCAUGGUAGAGAUUUGCUCACAUAUUCCCUUAGAGAUGUCAAAACAACUCAUCGUAUAAGUCGGGAUUGAUUGCGCGACUGCCUUGGUCAUGAUUUCUUUCCCUGCUCUAGACAACAGCUUCUCCUUCCACCCUUGUAUUCUCUUCCACACACGAUCCUUCAAAAAAUUGAAAACUUUCUUCUUUGAUUUUCCCACAUGAACUGGCAUGCCAAGGUAUCUAUCGUUCAAGGUUUCAUGCUGGAUAGCCAAGGUUCUCAUCACAAUUUCUUUAUCUGCGAUCCUAGUGUUAGGAUUAAACAUGAUUGCUGAUUUGUCUUUGUUGAUUACUUGCCCGGAAAAUCUCUCAUAAAGCUGAAGGGCCGCCAUCAGAGCAAGUGCAUCUUCCUCCUUAGCUCUACAAAGGAUCAGGGAAUCGUCUGCAAAGAAGAGAUGAGAAAUCUUUGGAUGGAAGCCGCAACACGCGCAGGGAACCUGGUUGAAAGGGGUUGGAAAGGGUGUGAGAAAGGCAUUUGGUAGUGGGAAGGAGAAUAUAGAUCAUCUUGCAUUGAGAUCGAUGGCUAGAUAUAUGCUUGGAGAAUUGUUAGAUAUGCUUUCCAGGUGAAAGCACGAGCACAUUUGGUAGUUGACUUAUGUGCUUGGGUAAUACGCUGGUAGCAGUGGGUCCUGAUGGAUGAUCGGAUGCAUUUUGGGUUUCUCAUACAGCAACAUUUCGAUAGUACUAAUUUUCCGUUAUUUUUCCAGGAAAAGAGAAUUUGUGCUUCUGACCACUGGCAGCUGAGUCUACAGAAGGCAGGAGAGGGACAGGCCCUCGUCAUUUCAUUUGCCAUCCUACUCUGAUUUGGACGUGUAAAGUUGGCUUUAAUUCAAGCCUGCAGGACGAGGCGUCUCACGUCAUCCACGACCUCUCCCUCUCGCCGUCUGACAUAUUUUCUCCUUGGCUGCUUCCCUUGCUGUUCCCAUACAUCACCAACACCACCUGCUGUUCCGACUUUUGGCCGUCGUUGGCAAGCAAGGCUCAUCUUUUCUGUCUCGGUUUGCAAGAGGUUCACAUUUGGGUAGCUACGCUCAUCUGGUGAAGGUCUUGUCCUGCGUUUGCUCUCUGCUUGCAACGUCCCGCCUUAUCCUGCCGCUUCUUCACCCAUGCUUCCCAGUAUAUUUUGUUGCACAUGGCGUAUACCAAGGUGGGACAGCACACAUGUACUCCCUUCGUUGCUGCAACAAGUAUUUAGGAACGGAGGAAAGCAGUCAUGUAUAGCAUGGUUGCUGUAAAGUCCAAGGGAACUACUUCCUCUUCCAAAUUAUAAGAUGUUGCGGCUGGCCUGCCGAGUUUGUUUGGUUGGUUUGAUUAUACAUGGGGAGCAGGUUUCUUGCAGUUCUGUUGCAGUGUUGGUCACGGGAGUUUGCGGCCUUUUGCAGAUGCUGUUUUGAGCGCCGUUUGCACGGAUUUGUGAGGUCUAUGCUUCUUGCUCUUUGUGUGUUUGUGCUGUCUCGUCCUUGGUUGUGCAUGUGUUCUAUGCUAGCGUCUGACAGAGGUAGGCGCAGAAGAAAUGGAGUGCACUAGAUUACAUAGGAAAACUACCUUUCAUAUUUAUUUCCUUUACAAAACUGCUAAUAACAAUUGAAUCAAUAGCCUAAAUGUAGAAAGAUCAUAUGUGCCUGUCCAAGAAUUUGUGUGCCAAAACAUCAUCGAUCCUUUUAUUGGAAACUGGAAAAGAAAGCCUGCAGUUUUGUAAAGGAAAUAAUUUAGUCUUUCAAUACUAAUGUAGAAAUAAAAUGUUAUUUGAGCUGAAAACUAUACUAAGCCUUAAUUGUGAUACGCAAAAGGCUGCGUCAAAGAAGUAAGGGACAUCAUGCAAUCGUCCUUGUUUCUGAAGUAGCACAAGAACAAGGUGUACUCUACUCUCACACAAACAGCCAAGUAAAUUAGUCAAAUACAUGCACAUGUAUAGUCAAUAGUUUGGAACUGACAUGUAAGAAAAAUUUGUACUGUACAAAUUGAUUAACAGAUUUCACAGGCACAAGCACAUGUAAGGGAGUAUCAACAUCUAGCGAUUGGUCUUCUUGGGUUAAGCUUAUUUGGUCUUCUUACUGCACUAGAUCGGUGCCUAAAUUGGAUGAUGGUGUCGGCUCCUUCUGGUGGAGAGACUUGGUUGGGCUUAUCGCUGGAUAUAAAGAGGUUGCUAGAUGUCUCCCAGGAGGCGGAUCCACUAUUUCAUUCUGGAAGGAUGCCUGGGACAGUGAUCCCUUCAUGACCAGAUUCUCGCGCAUUUUCUCGUUUGCCAUCAACAAAGAAAUCACCCUGCUCGAGUUUCACUCUGGUGAAGAUCGCUAUGACCUCUUUGCUCUGCCCCUUUCCACUCUGACUUCUGAUGAACUGCAACAUAUUAUCGCGAUUCUCCACAGCGCUGCCUUGGAUCAGACGGACCAAGACUUAUGGAUUUGUCGGUUGGGAUCUGGGGCUUUCUCCACUAAACUUUUCUAUCAGCACCACUUCCCUGCUCUCCAUCGACGCCUCAAGUCUACAUGGAUUUGGAAGAACAAUUGCUUACCUAAGAUCAAGGGCUUUGCCUGGCUCCUCUAUCGUGAUCGCGUCAAUACCAGAGACAUGAUGGACCGCAGAAACUGCAAUCGUGAUGGGGUGCUCAGUUGCGCUCUCUGUGACAGCGGAUCAAGGGAAACAAGAGAUCACCUUUUCUUUACCUGUUUCAGCGCUGAGUGCUGGCUCAGGAUUGGUGUCAACUGGUCGCCCUUGCCAUCUGAGCCUUCUCUCCCGAAUCGUCUCCACCUCGUCAAGGCUCAUGUACCUGUUAGAAUUCAUCGAGAAGUCUUCCUCUCUAUGGCCUGAGAACUUUGGAAGUGCAAAAAUGAUAAGAUUUUCAACGAGAUCACUCCCUCUGUGUUGUCUUGGUUAGCUAGACUUCAUGCCUCCCUGAAUAUUCAGAGUUGUAGACUUAAUACAGGCUCCGUCGAUGUAUUGAGGGCUGGGCUUGUGUCCCUUGCCUCGGUCCCCUGAGCUAGAUGCCUUUCUUCUCCCCCUCUAUUUGUAUCUUACAUGUACACUGUCAGAGUCUCUCCUACGGCUUUUGGUAAAAAAAAAAACAUCCAGCGAAACUGAUGCUGCAGGGGCUGCUGCACUUGUUUUGGAGUUUUUAGGGAGAGACAUAACCCGUGGAAAUGUCAUAUUUUUAAUUUUUGUGCAUAUUCUUUUAAGCUGAA